GCGGAGACGCAUGUUUCCGUUCACUCCUCACACCACACUCCGCCCGGACUACCGUUCGGGCGGUU
rnacentral:sRNA from 1 species